AUCGCUUCUCGGCUUUUUGGCUAAGAUCAAGUGUAAUGUGGCUUCACCAAAAAUUUUGUAAAUAUAUUUAAUCCCAGAACUUGUUUUUUAUGUUAUGCUGCUUCUGAAUAGCAAAGUAAAAAAUAU
ensembl:snRNA U2 U2 spliceosomal RNA